UACGGAGGGGGCUAGCGUUGUUCGGAAUUACUGGGCGUAAAGCGCACGUAGGCGGACUGGAAAGUUGGGGGUGAAAUCCCGGGGCUCAACCCCGGAACUGCCUUCAAAACUCCCAGUCUGGAGUUCGAGAGAGGUGAGUGGAAUUCCGAGUGUAGAGGUGAAAUUCGUAGAUAUUCGGAGGAACACCAGUGGCGAAGGCGGCUCACUGGCUCGAUACUGACGCUGAGGUGCGAAAGCGUGGGGAGCAAACAGGAUUAGAAACCCUAGUAGUCC
rnacentral:rRNA from 1 species